UACGGAGGGUGCGAGCGUUUGUCCGGAAUCACUGGGCGUAAAGGGCGCGUAGGUGGCCUCUUAAGUGUGUGGUGAAAGCCCGGGGCUCAACCCCGGGUCGGCCAUGCAAACUGGGGGGGCUGGAGCACUGUAGAGGCAGGCGGAAUUCCGGGUGUAGCGGUGGAAUGCGUAGAUAUCUGGAGGAACACCGGUGGCGAAGGCGGCAUCCUGGACCGAGAUUGACGCUGAUGCGCGAAAGCCAGGGGAGCAAACGGGGAUUAGCAA
rnacentral:rRNA from 1 species